UACGGAGGGUGCGAGCGUUGUCCGGAAUCACUGGGCGUAAAGGGCGCGUAGGCGGCCUGAUAAGUAGGGGGGUGAAAUCCUGCGGCUUAACCGCAGGGCUGCCUUCUAAACUGUCAGGCUAGAGCACAGUAGAGGCAGGUGGAAUUCCCGGUGUAGCGGUGGAAUGCGUAGAGAUCGGGAAGAACAUCAGUGGCGAAGGCGGCCUGCUGGGCUGUUGCUGACGCUGAGGCGCGACAGCGUGGGGGGAG
rnacentral:rRNA from 1 species